rnacentral:tRNA from 1 species
GUGUGAGAUGCUCAACAGUUAAGAGCACUGGCUGCUCUUCCAGAGGACCUGGGUUCAAUUCCCAGCACCCAUG